AACGGCCGUACCAUGCUGAAUAUACCGGUUCUCGUUAGAUCACCGAAGUUAAGCAUCAUUGGGCGCGGUCAGUACUUGGGUGGGUGGGAAUUUGGGAC